AACGAACGCUGGCGGCAGGCUUAACACAUGCAAGUCGAGCGCCCCGCAAGGGGAGCGGCAGACGGGUGAGUAACGCGUGGGAACGUGCUCUUUGCUACGGAAUAGCUCCGGGAAACUGGAAUUAAUACCGUAUGAGCACUACGGGGGAAAGAAUUAUCGGCAAAGGAGCGGCACGCGUUGGAUUAGCUAGUUGGUGGGGUAAAGGCCUACCAAGGCGACGAUCCAUAGCUGGUCUGAGAGGAUGAUCAGCCACAGUGGGACGGAGACACGGCCCAAGCUCCUACGGGAGGCAGCAGUGGGGAAUAUUGGACACUGGGCGCAAGCCUGAUCCAUCCAUGCCGCGUGAGUGAUGAAGGCCUUAGGGUUGUAAAGCUCUUUCACCGGAGAAGAUAAUGACGGUAUCCGGAGAAGAAGCCCCGGCUAACUUCGUGCCAGCAGCCGCCGUAAAAC
rnacentral:rRNA from 1 species